UACGUAGGGGGCGAGCGUUGUCCGGAAUCAUUGGGCGUAAAGAGCGUGUAGGCGGCUCGGUAAGUCCGCCGUGAAACCUGAGGCUCAACCUCAGGCUUGCGGUGGAUACUGUCGUGCUAGAGGAUGGUAGAGGCGAGUGGAAUUCCCGGUGUAGCGGUGAAAUGCGCAGAUAUCAGGAAGAACACCCGUGGCGAAGGCGGGUCUCUGGACAGUUCCUGACACUGAGGCACGAAGGCCA
rnacentral:rRNA from 1 species